UAGGGAAUCUUCGGCAAUGGGGGCAACCCUGACCGAGCAACGCCGCGUGAGUGAAGAAGGUUUUCGGAUCGUAAAGCUCUGUUGUAAGAGAAGAACGUGUGUGAGAGUGGAAAGUUCACACAGUGACGGUAACUUACCAGAAAGGGACGGCUAACUACGUGCCAGCAGCCGCGGUAAUACGUAGGUCCCGAGCGUUGUCCGGAUUUAUUGGGCGUAAAGCGAGCGCAGGCGGUUUAAUAAGGCUGAAGUUAAAGGCAGUGGCUUAACCAUUGUUCGCUUUGGAAACUGUUAAACUUGAGUGCAGAAGGGGAGAGUGGAAUUCCAUGUGUAGCGGUGAAAUGCGUAGAUAUUUGGGGGAACACCGGUGGCGAAAGCGGCUCUCUGGUCUGUAACUGACGCUGAGGCUCGAAAGCGUGGGGAGCAAACAGG
rnacentral:rRNA from 1 species